UACAGAGGUCCCAAGCGUUGUUCGGAUUCACUGGGCGUAAAGGGUGCGUAGGUGGUGAGGUAAGUCGGAUGUGAAAUCUCCAAGCUCAACUUGGAAACUGCAUUGGAAACUACCUUGCUAGAGGAUUUGAGGGGGGAUUGGAAUACUUGGUGUAGCAGUGAAAUGCGUAGAUAUCAAAGUGGAACACCAGUGGCGAAGGCGAAUCCCUGGAAAAUACCUGACACUGAGGCACGAAAGCUAGGGGAGCAAACAGG
rnacentral:rRNA from 1 species